GGCGCUAUAGCCAAGUGGUUACGGCGACAGAUUAGAAUCACGGCGAGUCUAUCUGUUCCUCUUCGAGGGCGCAGGUUCAAAUCCUGCUGGCGUCG